rnacentral:rRNA from 1 species
AUUGAACGCUGGCGGCAUGCCUUACACAUGCAAGUCGAACGGCAGCAUAGGAGCUUGCUCCUGAUGGCGAGUGGCGAACGGGUGAGUAAUAUAUCGGAACGUGCCCUAGAGUGGGGGAUAACUAGUCGAAAGACUAGCUAAUACCGCAUACGAUCUACGGAUGAAAGUGGGGGAUCGCAAGACCUCAUGCUCCUGGAGCGGCCGAUAUCUGAUUAGCUAGUUGGUGGGGUAAAAGCCUACCAAGGCAACGAUCAGUAGCUGGUCUGAGAGGACGACCAGCCACACUGGGACUGAGACACGGCCCAGACUCCUACGGGAGGCAGCAGUGGGGAAUUUUGGACAAUGGGGGCAACCCUGAUCCAGCAAUGCCGCGUGAGUGAAGAAGGCCUUCGGGUUGUAAAGCUCUUUUGUCAGGGAAGAAACGGUAGUAGCGAAUAACUACUACUAAUGACGGUACCUGAAGAAUAAGCACCGGCUAACUACGUGCCAGCCGCCGCGGUAA